rnacentral:rRNA from 1 species
UACGGGGGGGGCAAGCGUUGUCCGGAAUUAUUGGGCGUAAAGAGCUUGUAGGCGGUUUGUCGCGUCUGCUGUGAAAAUCCGGGGCUCAACCCCGGACUUGCAGUGGGUACGGGCAGACUAGAGUGUGGUAGGGGAGACUGGAAUUCCUGGUGUAGCGGUGAAAUGCGCAGAUAUCAGGAGGAACACCGAUGGCGAAGGCAGGUCUCUGGGCCACUACUGACGCUGAGAAGCGAAAGCAUGGGGAGCGAACAGG